rnacentral:lncRNA from 1 species
AGCAACAGGAUCAUACCAGAUUCUCGCAGUGCUCUGUGGUGGUGCAUGUAAUAUCCUGGACAUAAUCUGUCUUUUAAUUUUCUUUGGAUUGUAGUGAUAUUACAGAUACAUGUGUUCAGUUAUAGAUCUUUAUUUAAUAAGGAGAAUGCUUUAGCUGAAGAUUUGUACUAUGUCAGAAGUGGGCAACUCACAAUAAUGUUACCGGAGGUUUAGCCCAGUUGUAGUCAGAGGACUCACCUCGGGUUAAAGGUACUGCAUGAUGAUGAAUCCCCUGCAUCUUCGGUGGAAUGCUCCAGCAGGGCUGGAUGCGAUCAUCUUCUCAGUAAGACCUUUCUGGCUAAAAUUUAACCUGGAAGAGAGUGAAAUUGCAUUGGAAAAGCUUGCAGGAUUGGUCCGCAAGCUGUCUGGAGGGUAACAUCAGAUCAGAAAAAAGUAUUUCCAAAAGUGUUGCUGAU